rnacentral:tmRNA from 1 species
GGGGCUGACAGGCAUUCGAUUGCGUGUCAACUUACUGAGAAGCGUGCCGGGAAGCAACGCCCGCAACAGUGCAACCUUGAUAAGCGCAAACGCUCAUCAGUCCGACUACGUCCUAGCGGCGUAGUCCGUUGGGGUACAACGGUUCACCCGUUCCUUGUACCAAUCCACCGUCGCCAAUACGGGGAACCCUCUGGCUCACGCCGUCGCACAGAGGCUAAACGUGCUGCGGCAGAACCCUCGUAUCAGGCUGCCCAGCCAAACCGGAGGUAAACGGUAUAACAGGGAUACGCACGUAGAAGGCAGUGAAGAGAAGCGCAAGACUGCGGUUCAAUUCCGCACAGCUCCAC